rnacentral:rRNA from 1 species
CGCGAAUAGCUCAUUACAACAGCUAAAAUUUACUCGAUCUUGACACAAUCCUACUUGGAUAACUGUGGUAAUUCUAGAGCUAAUACAUGCAUUAAAGCUCUGACCUUCGGGGAAGAGUGCAUUUAUUAGAACAAAACCAAGCGGCUUCGGCUGUUUUCGGUUGACUCAUAGUAACUGAGCUGAUCGCAUGGUCUUGCACCGGCGACGUGUCGUUCAAGUAUCUGCCGUAUCAACUUUCGAUGGUAGCGUAUCUGACUACCAUGGUGAUCACGCGUAACGGAGAAUAGGGGUUCGACUCCGGAGAGUUCGCCUGAGAAAUCGCGAACACAUCUAAGGAAGGCAGCAGGCGCGAAAAUUACCCACUCUCAGCACGAGGAGGUAGUGACGAAAAAUAACGAGACCGUUCUCUUAUGAGGCCGGUCAUCGGAAUGGGUACAAUUUAAACCCUUUAACGAGUAUCUAUGAGAGGGCAAGUCUGGUGCCAGCAGCCGCGGUAAUUCCAGCU